rnacentral:lncRNA from 1 species
CGUUAGAAGAGACUGUAAUUCGGUGUCCAUAUAUGUUAUUUUAUUUUGAUUAUAUUGAUUUGUCAGAAUAGAACAGUAUAGCAAUUUAGCAAGUCUUUUGUUCGGAAGUUGUGAGCACAGAGCCCGCACACCUGUCGCGCGGUGGCUAGAUGUAUGCAGUAUUGUAAAUCAAACACUCUUUAUUGAUAAGUAAAGAUUUUUAUGAGACAGGUGAGAGACGAAGUUUGAAAAUUAAUUUUAAUCAUA